GGAGGGGUGGCAGAGCGGUUGAAUGCAGCGGUCUUGAAAACCGCCGAACCCGCAAGGGUUCCGUGAGUUCGAAUCUCACCCCCUCCGCCA
rnacentral:tRNA from 2 species